GCCCCUAUAGUUUAAUGGAUAGAACGCGGGCUUCCGGAGCCUGUAAUGUAGGUCCGAUUCCUACUGGGGGCACCA
rnacentral:tRNA from 1 species